GGGGGGGGGGGGGGGGGGGGGCGGGGGAGGCGGGGCGGGCGGGUGAGGGGAGCUUGCGCCUGGAUUCAGCGGCGGACGGGUGAGUAAUGCCUAGGAAUCUGCCUGGUAGUGUGGGAUAACGUCCGGCAACGGGCGCUCAUACCGCAUACGUCCUGAGGGAGCAAGUGGGGGAUCUUCGGACCUCACGCUAUCAGGUUAGCCUAGGUCGGAUUAGCUAGUUGGUGGGGUAAAGGCCUACCAAGGCGACGAUCCGUAACUGGUCUGAGAGGAUGAUCAGUCACACUGGAACUGAGACACGGUCCAGACUCCUACGGGAGGCAGCAGUGGGGAAUAUUGGACAAUGGGCGAAAGCCUGAUCCAGCCAUGCCGCGUGUGUGAAGAAGGUCUUCGGAUUGUAAAGCACUUUAAGUUGGGAGGAAGGGCAGUAAGUUAAUACCUUGCUGUUUUGACGUUACCAACAGAAUAAGCACCGGCUAACUUCGUG
rnacentral:rRNA from 1 species